rnacentral:rRNA from 1 species
AUUGAAUGCUGGCGGAAUGCUUUACACAUGCAAGUCGAACGAUGAAGCCUAGCUUGCUAGGUCGAUUAGUGGCGAACGGGUGAGUAAUAUAUCGGAACGUAUCCAAUAAUGGGGGAUAACUAGUCGAAAGAUUGGCUAAUACCGCAUACGUCCUACGGGAGAAAGCUGGGGAUCGUAAGACCUGGCGUUAAUGGAGCGGCCGAUAUCUGAUUAGCUAGUUGGUGAGGUAAAGGCUCACCAAGGCGACGAUCAGUAGCUGGUCUGAGAGGACGACCAGCCACACUGGAACUGAGACACGGUCCAGACUCCUACGGGAGGCAGCAGUGGGGAAUUUUGGACAAUGGGCGAAAGCCUGAUCCAGCCAUGCCGCGUGAGUGAAGAAGGCCUUCGGGUUGUAAAGCUCUUUCGCAAGGGAAGAACACUUACUUAAUAACACUAAGUGAGGUUGACGGUACCUUGAUAAGAAGCACCGGCUAACUACGUGCCAGCAGCCGCGGUAAAAC